rnacentral:tRNA from 1 species
CAAAUUAUAGCUUAUAAAAGUUUUUUAUUUACAUUAAAAAGUUAAUUGUGUAAAUCAAUUUAAUUUGA